GGCCCUUUAGCUCAGUUGGUUAGAGCACCCGACUCAUAAUCGGUAGGUCCCCAGUUCAAGUCUGGGAGGGGCCACCA
rnacentral:tRNA from 15 species